rnacentral:rRNA from 1 species
UACUGAGGAUGCAAGCGUUAUCCGGAAUGAUUGGGCGUAAAGCGUCCGCAGGUGGCUGUGUAAGUCUGCUGUUAAAGAGUGAGGCUCAACCUCAUAAAGGCAGUGGAAACUACAUGGCUAGAGUGCGUUCGGGGCAGAGGGAAUUCCUGGUGUAGCGGUGAAAUGCGUAGAGAUCAGGAAGAACACCGGUGGCGAAAGCGCUCUGCUAGGCCGCAACUGACACUGAGGGACGAAAGCUAGGGGAGCGAAUGGG